AUGCAACAUCAACACAAUUUCCACAACAAACAUUCACUCUGCCAUUCGUUGAAAAAAAAUAGCCUUUGAAACAAUACAAACCUGCCCCAAAGUAAGCUUCAAUUCAUUUGCUAAAACCUUUCACAAACACACUACAGACUAACACAAAAUUGAAAAUCAAUUAAAUUGCGAAUUCUUAAUAGAAAAAAAAGUGAGACAUUGGUUUUCUUUUGUAAUUUGAAUUUCUGUAAGGGAGGAGAUGG
rnacentral:lncRNA from 1 species